rnacentral:lncRNA from 12 species
GAAUCACUCGGCCUCCUGGCCUUGGCUCCCCCACCAGGGGACGUCAUGCGGCCUGGUCAUCGGCCUUGACACAGGCGUGCGGUGUCUCUGGACGACUGCUGGCACCGCAGCCCGCGACAAAAUGGGGAAUGAGCAGGAGCUCCAAAGUCAGAGGCUUUCUGUUGUGGGAGAGGAGAGGAGGACAAGGCGUGAGCUGGUUCCUAAUUCCGUGUUUCGUCACAGCUGAGGAAGAAAUCAUUAGAGAUGCAGCUGCUUGCAUGCAAGAGCCUGUGCAUGAGGCCAGCGCCACAGAUGAUGGUAUUUGAAGCAAGAAGGUUCUUUGGGAAACUUUAAGGUAUGAGCCUGGCAAAGGAGGAGGCUGGCCUCGGAAAAUAAGAGCAUGCCUAUUCCAGAAAACCAAGACAGUGCACUCAUCAUGUACCUUGCCGGCUCUCCGUGACCUGUGCAUAUGUGCGCACAUCCCCACAGCUCUUCAGCCUCCUCCCCUGGCGGUGGGUUUGGGUUCCUGCGUCCACGGCACCCCCUGCAGGAGACACUUACUGGAUAUCCAUACAGGGAGAUGGCUAUUUUGUUUUGUUUGUUUUUAUUGAAGUUCAAUUUGCCAACAUAUAGUAUAAUAGCCAGUGCUCAUCCCAUCAAGUCAAGUGGCUUCUCUUUGGGAGAAAUGUGAACCUGAUUCUGGAUCAUCCAUCAGUGGACCAAAAUUAUAAGGUACUCAGUGUAAGAGGUUUUACAUUUAUAUUUGAGAUACAGAAACUAUAAAUGAAAGAAAGUCAAAAUUUUGCCUAUUUUUUGUCUUUAUUUGCAUUAACGACUUAAUGGGAAAUUAGUACUGACCGUUGUCCUUUCUGCUUAUUAACAGAGUGUUUAAGCCAGUGAUAAAGCACUAGGUGCUGCUGUCUGUUUUCCAGAAACUAGUCCUUACAGUGUUGGGUGCGGAGUAUCCGUAAGCCUCCUCGGCGGAACCCCAAACAGUGCUCCCUGUGGACAUGGUAAAAUGUUCUGGUUGAUGACCUGCUCUCAGACGCUACCAAACCUCUAGUGGGAUGUGGUUCCCAGUCAGCCUUUCUCCAUGAAACGUCCUGGAGUUUUAGAAUUAAGAAAAUGUCUUAAAAUGCAUUAAUACUAAAUAUAAUAAAGAGAUUUAUGACUAUUUCUGAAGCCCUACU